UACAGAGGUCUCAAGCGUUGUUCGGAUUCAUUGGGCGUAAAGGGUGUGUAGGUGGCGCGCUAGUCGGGUGUGAAAUUUCGGAGCUUAACUCCGAAACUGCAUUUGAUACUGCGGUGCUUGAGGACUGGAGAGGAGACUGGAAUUCACGGUGUAGCAGUGAAAUGCGUAGAUAUCGUGAGGAAGACCAGUGGCGAAGGCGGGUCUCUGGACAGUUCCUGACACUGAGGCACGAAGGCCCAGGGGAGCAAACGGG
rnacentral:rRNA from 1 species